GAUGAACGCUGGCGGUGUGCCUAACACAUGCAAGUCGAACGAAAAGACGAUGAGCUUGUUCCUCUAACGUUAGCGGCGGACGGGUGGGUAACACGUGGAUCACCUACUUCUUUGACUGGGAUAACUUCGGGAAACCGGUGCUAAUACUAGAUCAUAUAUUGAACCGCAUGGUUCAAUAGUGAAUGACGGUUUGCCUGUCACUUAUAGAUGGAUCCGCGCCGGAUUAGCUAGUUGGUAAGGUAACGGCUUACCAAGGCGACGAUGCGUAGCUGAGCUGAGAGGAUGAUCGGCCACACUGGAACUGAGACACGGUCCAGACUCCUACGGGAGGCAGCAGUAGGGAAUCUUCCGCAAUGGGCGAAAGCCUGACGGAGCAACGCCGCGUGAGUGAUGAAGGUCUUCGGAUCGUAAAACUCUGUUAUUAGGGAAGAACAAAUGUGUGAGUAACUAUGCACGUCUUGACGGUACCUAAUCAGAAAGCCACGGCUAACUACGUG
rnacentral:rRNA from 1 species